rnacentral:ncRNA from 1 species
UCUUUUCUUCGGGGCAGGGUGAAAUUCCCUACCGGCGGUGAGGAUGCAUUCGUGUAUCUCAAGCCCGCGACUCCCAGCUGUAUUGGUUGGGACUGACUUGGUGUAAUUCCAAGGCCGACGGUAUAGUCCGGAUGGGAGAAGGUGAAG